rnacentral:rRNA from 1 species
CCUACGGGAGGCAGCAGUGAGGAAUAUUGGACAAUGGGCGCAAGCCUGAUCCAGCCAUGCCGCGUGCAGGAAGACGGUCCUAUGGAUUGUAAACUGCUUUUAUACAGGAAGAAAUACUUUCUCGUGAGAGAGCUUGACGGUACUGUAAGAAUAAGGAUCGGCUAACUCCGUGCCAGCAGCCGCGGUAAUACGGAGGAUCCAAGCGUUAUCCGGAAUCAUUGGGUUUAAAGGGUCCGUAGGCGGUUUAAUAAGUCAGUGGUGAAAUCUGGUCGCUCAACGAUCAAACGGCCAUUGAUACUGUUAGACUUGAAUUAUUGUGAAGUAACUAGAAUAUGUAGUGUAGCGGUGAAAUGCUUAGAUAUUACAUGGAAUACCAAUUGCGAAGGCAGGUUACUAACAAUGGAUUGACGCUGAUGGACGAAAGCGUGGGGAGCGAACAGGAUUAGAUACCCUGGUAGUCCACGCCGUAAACGAUGGAUACUAGCUGUUGGGCGCAAGUUCAGUGGCUAAGCGAAAGUGAUAAGUAUCCCACCUGGGGAGUACGUUCGCAAGAAUGAAACUCAAAGGAAUUGACGG